UUGUGGUUAUAAAUUGCGCGAUCACCAGUGCUAGGGUUCUGCUACUUCUAAGCUCCCAAAAUCACCUCCAUUUUUCAUAUUGAGAGAGAGAGAUUUUAGAGAGAGAAGAGAUGGGAAGAAAGUUCUUCGUCGGAGGCAACUGGAAAUGCAAUGGAACUGUUGAAGAGGUUAAAAAGAUUGUGUCCAUGCUCAAUGAAGCUGAAGUACCAUCGGAGGACAUUGUGGAGGUUGUUGUAAGCCCUCCCUUUGUGUUUCUUCCUUUAGUAAAGAGUUUGCUACGUCCGGAUUUCUUGGUUGCAGCACAAAAUUGUUGGGUGAGGAAGGGAGGUGCUUUCACUGGUGAGAUCAGUGCUGAGAUGCUUGUCAAUUUGGGGAUUCCAUGGGUCAUUAUUGGUCACUCUGAAAGAAGGUCGCUGCUUAAUGAAACAAAUGAGUUUGUUGGAGACAAAGUGGCGUAUGCUCUUUCUCGAGGCUUGAAGGUCAUUGCUUGUGUUGGAGAGACACUUGAGCAGCGAGAAUCAGGGUCUACAAUGGAUGUAGUUGCUGCACAAACUAAAGCAAUUGCAGAUAAAGUAAGUAGCUGGGAUAACAUAGUAUUGGCAUAUGAGCCUGUUUGGGCGAUCGGAACUGGCAAAGUUGCAACCCCGGCUCAGGCUCAAGAAGUGCAUUUUGAACUGAGGAAAUGGCUUGAAGCCAAUGUUAGUCCAGCUGUUGCUGCAUCAACAAGGAUAAUUUAUGGAGGCUCUGUGAAUGGUGCAAACUGCAAGGAACUGGCGAAACAGCUUGAUAUUGAUGGAUUUUUAGUUGGUGGAGCUUCCUUAAAGCCGGAAUUCGUGGACAUUAUCAAAUCUGCCACAGUGAAGAAAUCUGCUUGAGUUGGCUUUGAUGUGCAUAAAAUCUUCUGCAGGAGCACAGUUGCAGAGUCUAAUGUUUGAGUUUGUAGUUUCGAGGUAGUGAUUUCUCCACUCGUUUUGGACAAGGUUGCCCUGCCCACCCGUUCCCUGGGCUCUCUCGCUUUCUCACACACACGCACGCAUUUGUCAUAGCUGAUGGAGAAUCUCACACUAGCAUUCUCAUUAGGUUAUUUACCUGCAAGUUCACAAACGUGUGGAGGAGAGGGUUGCUAUUGUAAUUUCUCAUUAACUUGUCAGGGGAUAUCUUUUUCUUUAUUUUUUCAUUGACGGUUUACGUAGCAGAGGAAAAAAAUCAAUGUUAAUUGAAAAUUAGUAUAUUUUAUUUUUUGAGGAAGCCACACGAGUGGUAAUGUGACCGAGGAAGUACAAACACGAGUGGUAAUGUGAAGUGCGAAAUCUGGUAAGGUAUCUUCAUCGAGGAUCGAACCCGAAACUUGCCGCAACCACUUAACCUCGAUGCCAUUUAACAUUUUAUGCAAAUAGGAAGGUUAUAUAA